ensembl:lncRNA
CUGAGAAGAAUUCAAACCGAGCGCUGUUGGAGAUGCAGCACGCCUUGUAAUUCAUGUUGAGAAGUUCCUUGCAGACACCUCGAUACUUCUGAGGUUUUGAAUGGGCAGGCGCUGUUAAAUGGAUAUACUUAAGUUUUUGCUGUGUUGUGAAGAUCUUUGUCUGGGGUAGCUUUUAUACUUUUAUUUUUGGAGCCGUGGACAUGUAGGUUUAUGGUUUAAAAGAAUUAACUGCUUAGUGGUUUGAAAGACACAAGCAGGGAGGAAGGGCAUACCCUCAAAACAAGCCUACCAGUUCAAGCAGAACUGGUUUACAAAGUAGUGCAACAGAAGGAAAACCAUAGAGUUGACUCUGACAGCUGCUGCAAGAUGAGUGUUGAGAGAACCUGUCAGGAUCUGUGGGCUCCCAUAUAGCUCUUACGCUGUCCCCACAGCCUUUGCAAAAGGACCUUGGAGGUGGCCGGGGAAGAGAUGUUGCAUAGCAUCUGGAUUAGAAAAGCAGAAGGUCACCUUUUGGAGGAGUGGGAUUAGGAGAGGACUCAGUUGGACCUAGAUAGGUAGGGAUGAUUCCCCAGAGAUCACCCAGGCACUUACGUGGGCAUUAUCUGCCAUUUUUUUUGUCUUGAUGCAUACACUGCUGACUUGCAAUAUGGAAAUUGAACUUUGAUUUUUGUAAGGAAUGUUCUUUCAGGUAGAGGAUAAAACAAAGCAAGAUGCAGCUGUUAACUGACAGCUCCUCUGGCUCACAUGGAAGAGUCCAUUGGCUUCUGAAAGUGCAGAAAGAUGUCACCUAGCUUGUGGGAUUCCAUUAGUGUGUACGUGGUGAGCUUGUAGGUGUGGAGGGGAAGGCUGAAACAAGGAGGAGUUGUUUGGACAGAUGAUAAUUUGGAAGAAGUGAAUACUGUAGGCUGUAGUACAGCUAGUAGCACCAGUUUUGAGACCCAGGAACCCUGCUUCUCACUGCUCUUGUUUGGACACAGUUGACCAGGAAAUAAAUGUAGAUGCUGACAUGGUCAGAGUAACUGAGUGAAGCCUUUUGGCUGUGGCACAGAGCUACAACAAGUGAGGCAUAUCCUUGUAGGCAGCUGCUUCAUGCAGGGACAGGCCAAUUUUCUUUCUUUUGUUCGGUUUCUUGUUGGCCUCAACUCUUCUAAAUGCAACAAUGAGCUGGCUAGGUUGCACCUAAAGAAUUACCUCUGUGGGAAUGAAAAUGAAGAACAAAUCCCCUGUGUCCAGUAGAUCUAUUUCUUGCUUUUCAGCAAGAGUGCUUUCACACAUCCUCCUUUCAGAGGUCUUGGACUUGUUCUAAUCCAUGGAAAAAGCUUGUGUUCCUCCAUGAUGGCUGGUAAUGACAGCUGCAUAAGGAGGUGUACCACUGUGAUGAGCAUCUGCAGGUAAUCCCAGCUGCAGAGAAUGUCCGUCCUGAAGCCAUGAAAGCUGGGUAGUGCAGGGUAGGGCUGGAGCUGUGGCCUCUGUUAACAUUUUUAUGGUCUGUUCUGCUAGGGUAUUCAGCUGGAAGCCAUGGAACUAGGCAGGAGAAUUGCAGAACCGUGACAGCAUAGCUGAUUUUCAUGUUUGAAGAUGAAAUAAAGACUCAAGGAGAAUGUUUUUGGAAUGCUUCUGAAAAAUCUGGGUGGAUGAAAUAGCUUUACAGGUGCCAACAGAGCCCAUAUGACACUGAACACAAUUAUUUAGGAAUGGAAUGGAGAAUUCCUCCUCAUUUUGGUAUGGGAAGGAAAGGAAAUGGAGGUUUCUGCUCCCUACCAUGGAUUGUACUAAUGGUGAAGAAUUGCUGUGCAAACUGUUGUUUCGUGGGGGAAUUUGUCUCCUUUUCAAC